rnacentral:rRNA from 1 species
CUACGGGCGGCACCAGUAGGGAAUCUUAGACAAUGAGGGAAACCCUGAUCUAGCCAUGCCGCGUGAGUGAUGAAGGCCUUAGGGUUGUAAAGCUCUUUCGCUGGGGAAGAUAAUGACGGUACCCAGUAAAGAAACCCCGGCUAACUCCGUGCCAGCAGCCGCGGUAAUACGGAGGGGGGUAGCGUUGUUCGGAAUUACUGGGCGUAAAGCGCGCGUAGGCGGGCUAUUAAGUCAGGGGUGAAAUCCCGGGGCUCAACCCCGGAACUGCCUUUGAUACUGGUAGUCUUGAGUUCGAGAGAGGUGAGUGGAAUUCCGAGUGUAGAGGUGAAAUUCGUAGAUAUUCGGAGGAACAUCAGUGGCGAAGGCGACUCACUGGCUCGAUACUGACGCUGAGGUGCGAAAGUGUGGGGAGCAAACAGGAUUAGAUACCCCAGUAGUC